rnacentral:rRNA from 1 species
UACGUAGGGUGCAAGCGUUAAUCGGAAUUACUGGGCGUAAAGCGUGCGCAGGCGGUUAUGUAAGACAGAUGUGAAAUGCCCGGGCUUAACCUGGGAACUGCAUUUGUGACUGCAUGGCUAGAGUUUGGCAGAGGGGGGUAGAAUUCCACGUGUAGCAGUGAAAGUGCGUAGAUAUGUGGAGGAACACCGAUGGCGAAGGCAGCCCCCUGGGUCAAGAUUGACGCUCAUGCACGAAAGCGUGGGGAGCAAACAGG